rnacentral:tRNA from 1 species
GAGGCUGUGGCUCAGUGGCAUAGCACUUUCCUGGCAUGUAAGGGGGCCUGGGUUCAAUUCCCAGCACUACCU